GAUGAACGCUGGCGGCGUGCCUAAUACAUGCAAGUCGAGCGAACAGACGAGGAGCUUGCUCCUCUGACGUUAGCGGCGGACGGGUGAGUAACACGUGGAUAACCUACCUAUAAGACUGGGAUAACUUCGGGAAACCGGAGCUAAUACCGGAUAAUAUAUUGAACCGCAUGGUUCAAUAGUGAAAGACGGUUUUGCUGUCACUUAUAGAUGGAUCCGCGCCGCAUUAGCUAGUUGGUAAGGUAACGGCUUACCAAGGCAACGAUGCGUAGCCGACCUGAGAGGGGGGUGGGCCCACUGGGAACUGGAACGCGGGCCAGACUCCGACGGGGGGCAGCAGUAGGAAACCUUCGGCAAAGGGGGAAAGCCUAACGGAGCAACGCGGGGUGAGUGAUAAAGGUUUUCGAAUCGUAAAACUCUGUUAUUAGGGAAAAAAAAAGGUGUAAGUAACUAUGCACGUCUUGACGGUACCUAAUCAAAAAGCCCCGGCUAACUACGU
rnacentral:rRNA from 1 species